rnacentral:rRNA from 1 species
AUGGGCGAAAGCCUGACGGAGCAACGCCGCGUGAGUGAAGACGGCCUUCGGGUUGUAAAGCUCUGUUAUACGGGACGAAUAGUCUUGUGGUUAAUACCCAUGAGAAGUGACGGUACCGUAAGAGAAAGCCACGGCUAACUACGUGCCAGCAGCCGCGGUAAUACGUAGGUGGCAAGCGUUGUCCGGAAUUAUUGGGCGUAAAGGGCGCGCAGGCGGCUUCUUAAGUCUGUCUUAAAAGUGCGGGGCUUAACCCCGUGAUGGGAUGGAAACUGGGAAGCUCAGAGUAUCGGAGAGGAAAGCGGAAUUCCUAGUGUAGCGGUGAAAUGCGUAGAUAUUAGGAGGAACACCAGUGGCGAAAGCGGCUUUCUGGACGAAAACUGACGCUGAGGCGCGAAAGCCAGGGGAGCGAACGGGAUUAGAUACCCCGGUGGUCCUGGCCGUAAACGAUGGGUACUAGGUGUAGGAGGUAUCGACCCCUUCUGUGCCGGAGUUAACGCAAUAAGUACCCCGCCUGGGGAGUACGGCCGCAAGGUUGAAACUCAAAGGAAUUGACGGGGGCCCGCACAAGCGGUGGAGUAUGUGGUUUAAUUCGACGCAACGCGAAGACCUUACCAAGCCUUGACAUUGAUCGCAAGGAGUA